AUGCACUGCGCAUCAUUUGUGAUAGCCGGCUCCGUAGCACGCAUUAGCAGCAGGGCGAUGAACAGGGUGCCGCCAGCUCGUGAGGCGGCAGGGCCCAGGCGGUACAGUACUGCCGCCACGCCCCUUGACGGCCGGGCUCCACACGCCGCUGCCGUUCCGUCUCCAGCGCAGAUUCCCGUUUUGCCAGGCGGUACAGUGCUGCCGCCUCGCUGCGUGGUGGCAGGUGUCACGUGGUCCUUUUCGACAAAAAUUCCUCCUCUCACCACAGACGCUCCUCUUCCUCGAUCUGCCGCCAUUCUUCAGGUGGCCUUCCCCCUUUCUCCUCCUCUAUGCCGCCGUUGCCCGUCCUCCUUCUCCCGCAUCUCCUCCCCGUUGUCAGGCGCGCUGUGCCGCCAUCCUUCCUCCUCCCCAUCGAGGCCAGGCAGAGGAGGAGGAGCGCGGUGCGCGGACAUGACGAGGAAGCAGCCGGCGUCAGCGCGCGCCGCCCGGCCAAGGUCUUUUCCUGCAUGCGCGACCUCCUCGCCAAGCCCUUCCCAUACGCGCGGGUCCUCGCUGCCUGGCUCUACCUCCACUGCGACCUCGUCCAGGACGCCCGCAGCGCCGCCGCCGUCCGCGCCGCCGACGGCCAGAUCCAACACCGUCGAGGAGACCGUCGCCAUGGUGCUCCACUAUGCCUCGGGGAUCGAUCAACCCCAUGAUGUCGCCGCCGUCUCCUUCGUCCAGCCGGCAUGCCGCCGCCGUCGUCUUCGCGUGCACAUGAUAGGAGGUGUGCGACCCUCCUCUCUCGCGCACUGCGGCCGCUUCGCCCCGCCAUCGUUCCUCGGGUGUGGUCGCGCCUGUCUUCUUACCGCGUCGUCGCUCCUCCUCCAGGCCGCCGGCGGCACCCGUCCUCCUCCCUCAUCCUCUCCAGGUGGCUGGGACGCUUUACGAUGCGAGGCUCACUCGGAUGUGAAGGUGCCCCUGCAUUGGAGCCCAAGGAUGCACUGUAUGCGUGAGGUUGUUAUCGCACUGAGGAUGCUAUGGGAAAACAGGGACAUAUUUGAUCUUGUUAUCAGUGAUGUGCACAUGCCAGACAUGGAUGGCUUUAAGCUUCUUGAGCUUGAAAUGGACCUCCCUAUCAUCAUAUCAAUUCGGUACACCGAAUCCUAUGAUUUGUACCUCUAA
rnacentral:rRNA from 1 species